rnacentral:tRNA from 1 species
GCUGGUGUGGCGAAAUUGGCAGACGCAAGGGACUUAAAAUCCCUCGGCAGAAAUGUCAUACGGGUUCAAUUCCCGUCACCAGUACCA